CGAUACCAUCUCCAACACCUACUCCUGAAACACCAUAAACUCUGUAUCCUGCAUCCCAAGUGAUUCAACAAGGAAGGAGCCAUGUAAAGAUCUGAACACUGCCUUCCUGGCCCUCUCUGCCCCUAUUCAAGAAUCAUUGCUUCCUCC